UGUGACAGAAUAGUGUGAUAAAUUUAAGAUUUAUUUAUAAAGU
rnacentral:tRNA from 1 species